UGGGCCCAGCCCCUUCAGAAGCAGAGGCUUGGGCGAGGGCAGCGGAUUUAUGGUGCAAGGUUAGCCGGCGCGUAAACCUGGGCGUCGGCCAUCAAGGGCCCUGGCGUUUUUACUGCCUCCUCCUCCAAGCCCCUGCAUGGAUGUGAAGCAACUGGAAGGAGGAACAUCUGGUUUCACUUUUUGCAUUCACCAGCACAGCUCCCAGAUGACAAAACCCUCCGUUCUUGCCAGGGUCCUGCUGGUGGCUGGUAGGCUGAAUGCGCAGGCAGGGGGGCAGCUCUCUGACAGAGAUCUCGCUUCUUUUUUUUUCCCUGCCUCAUCUAGGGGCCAAGAAACCGCCAGCCACAAAGGGAUCAACCCCGCUGCAUCGAGAUAGAGUGGGUGGCUGAGUCAAGGCCAGGCUGGCCGCGGUGCCAGCUUGCCAGAGACACCGAGGGCCACUUGUCCCGGCGGCGGGGAGGGCCCCAAGCCGGCCUUUAAAAGGGGGGCGUGGCCGGGUCGCGAGCGGUGGAUGCUGGAACUUGUAGUCUCCGAGCGCAAGAUGGCUGUGAGUGAGGGCCAGCAUCCCUGUCCUCUGGGGCAGGACUUCUCCAGGUCACCCAUCCUGGACUGACAGCAUGCUCACACAGCCUGUGGCAAGGUCGGCAGGGAGAGCAACUGACCGUCUGCCAAUGACAAGCGCCAACUUGGCAGGCAUGAACGUUAGCCGCCUUGGCCUUCCAAAUACUGUAGCCUCAGCCAGCAUCUUCACGGCAACCUCAUGGGAGACCCCAAGCCAGAACCUCUCAGCUGAGCAGCUCCAGAAAUCCUGACCCAAAGAAAAAUACCCUUAUAUUCUAAGCUGCUGUGUUUUGAAGUGAUUUAUGUUUCAGCAAAGAUAAAUAAGCCCUUCAUCCCUAUCCCCUGAUAACAGCCAAAGCCCUAUUUUCAAGAUGUAAGUAUGUUAUGUCAUUCCCUUACUUAACAUUUCUUAUGGUUUUCAGAACCUCCCAGAGAACACUGAAACUGAUGAUAAGGGCAUCCAAGCUUCUUCAGAACCCAGCCUCAUCACUCAAGGGCUCCUGUAGGCCAGAGUGAUUUCAUGUCUGAUGCCCCUCCACCAGAAACCUUCCUUGAAGUGGUAGAUAACACUCCUGAGGUUUGUGUGUACCUUUAUCAACACACAUUAACAUUUGCCUGCCCAUCACCCACUCUGGCCUAGGAAGGAUUGUCGUUCAUCUGCCACCCCAGCACAGGAGUGGUAUUCAGCCCAUGGGAACCAUUUAAUAAGUAAUUUUGAUGUGAAAGAGAACAAAAUGAAUACAAAACAAAAAUUAUCUUGAACUAUCUGACUUCCAGAGCAGCCACUAGGACUUCCCUGGUGGUACAGCGCAUAGGAGUCCACCUGCCAGUGUGGAGGACACAAGUUCAAUCCCUGGUCUGGGAAGAUCCACGCUCCACAUGCACCACAGCUACUGAAGCCUGUGUGCAUAGAGCCCGUGCUCUGCAACAAGAGAAGCCACCGCAAUGAGAAAAUGAGAAGCCUGUGCAUUGCAACGAGGUGUAGCCUCGGCUUGUCUGCAACUAAAAAAAAAAAAACUUCAUUCCUGUCUGCACACAGGAAUGAAGAACCAGCACAGCCAAUAAAUAAAUCUAAAACUAAAGAGCAACCACCAACUGAAUUAAAGAGCAUGAAUCCAUUAGGCCCUCUCUGUUGACUUAUCUAGAUAACCCAAUCUUUUCUGGAGUCUCUACGCCGAUUUCUGGAGGCUGAAAGCUUCUGAAACAAACUUGGACAGUUUUUGCAUUUCCCUUUGGCCAGCACGUGGAAGAGCCCGUCUUAUGCUCCUUGCUCCCCUGUCCUACCGCGGUCAUGGCCCCGGAUACCCAAGGCCUCUCUUCAGGUGGACCUGAGAGCUGACUGCCAUUUGAAACUGCUCGUGAACCCGGAACAUGAGAUUUCAGGUCGAGUGUGUGUUUGGGCUGUGCCUGUGAGAGAUGGAGAGCAGGCCUUAGCAAGGGAAUUAACCAGGCUGAGCCACACUUUCAUAGAAGAGAGAUCAAAGCCAGAGGCGAACCUGACCCAGAUAAACCACCAGGACUGAAACCCAUGCGUCUGGCAGAUGCAAAUAGUCUCAUCUAGUCUGAACUGGGAGGCAAAGCCCUGUGGAGACUUACCUGGCCCCUGCUCGAGCCUCGGCCACAAACUUGGACCUGCCCCAGGGAAACUGGACAUCUCAAGGCGAAGCCGGGUACAAAGCUGUGCAGAAAGAGCGGUCAGAGGCGGAUGCCCACCUUGCCCUGCCCCAGCAAAGCUCAUCACCUCCCAUCCCAGCCAGUGGGGUGGAAAAGACAAAACCACCUCAUCUCAAUGAGAAGGUCAGCAAAGGGCUCAAGACCCAAUGCCCCAGCCCUGUGAGGGAACGGCUCUGCAAACCAACUCCUCCUUGUCAUUUGGGGAAAAAAAAAGGCAAAAAAUUGAUGUUCUGUACCUGCAUGGUACAUAGAGGAAAAUAACGGAUCUGUUGGCUCAUA